GUACACUCCUGCGGGAGGCAGCAGUGGGGAAUAUUGGACAAUGGGCGAAAGCCUGAUCCAGCAAUGCCGCGUGAGUGAUGAAGGCCUUAGGGUUGUAAAGCUCUUUUACCCGGGAUGAUAAUGACAGUACCGGGAGAAUAAGCCCCGGCUAACUCCGUGCCAGCAGCCGCGGAAAUACGGAGGGGGCUAGCGUUGUUCGGAAUUACUGGGCGUAAAGCGCGCGUAGGCGGCUUUGUAAGUUAGAGGUGAAAGCCCGGAGCUCAACUUCGGAAUUGCCUUUAAGACUGCAUCGCUAGAAUCGUGGAGAGGUGAGUGGAAUUCCGAGUGUAGAGGUGAAAUUCGUAGAUAUUCGGAAGAACACCAGUGGCGAAGGCGACUCACUGGACACGUAUUGACGCUGAGGUGCGAAAGCGUGGGGAGCAAACAGGAUUAGAUACCCGAGUAGUCCC
rnacentral:rRNA from 1 species